CCGUUUCCUUGUCAAGCACCCCCACUCCUAGGCAACCCCCAAAAUGGCCUCCUGGGGGUUUUCUCGCCUCCUUUUCUAGUAAAACGACCAUGGGGCAGGGAAGAAACUGCUGCGGAAGCUCAGAAAGCCUCCCCCACUGGAUUUCCCAUGCAGAUCCCGAAAGCAGCUUCACAGCGGACCCGGAGACUCCCUCCUCCUCCUCCCAGGGUGUUGGUUUAUGCAGUUCCCUGCUCUGCCUCCUGUGACUGUGAGUCGCCUUAUACCCACCGAGGGCCACGCUCUCCUCGGCUUCGGUCCAAAGGCCUCUGCGCACCGGGUAACCCCACAGAGGGGAGCUGGCCGGAGCUUUGAAGGGGGCAGAGCCUCACCAAGCCCGGGUCUUGCAGGGCAGGGGCGCGGCCGGAGCGGGGCGCGCCCUCCCUCUAGCGCACACGUUACCAAGCAUCUCUCAGCGACUCGCCGCCGCUCAGGAUGGAAACUCACAGUGAAGAGCGGGGCAGAGACGAGUGGAAGGCCUUGUGGCAAACACCCGCGAAACCCUUCGGGAAGCGCCCCCGAGCGCCACGACUGCUUCUGUGCGCGAUGCUCCUGUGACGCGUGCACCUAGCCCGGCCACCUGCUGGACCCGAGCUCCAAGCUCCAACUCACCCUUCGGGGCCCGGCAGGAGAUCAUCUUGCUCUGACUUGGUGUGUUUUCCGCGACACACAUUCCCGUGCCCCUGUGCCCGAAGCAGCCUGUGUCGCUGUGCUGUGAGUCUUGCCUUUCCCGCCCCACUGCCCAGUUGGACCACCAGCUCCUGAGGAAUGUGAACUAUGUCUUUCAUCCUUAGAGCCCUGGCGUCUGGCACGUUAGUGAGGAGCAAGUACGCGCUUUCCAGAGCACGUUUGAAUAGACUUCUCUCCACCUCUUUCUCACCCUUCUAUUUUGCCUGAAUUUCUGCUAAUUGUCCCAGAACGUCUCCUCUAUCUUUAUUGCGGCCAAUUGAGAUAAUGAUGCCUACCAAGCCUCUUUGAGAGUUUGCAGUGAUAAGAAUAUUAAGCAGAUUACAUGUGAGUGUGUUUGAAUGCUUUUAAAACGCUUACACAUACACGGCAGCAUAUUUAUUAUCCUGCCUAUUAGAUUAUCAGAAGUUUUUUUUUUUUCCCCGAACCCAGAAACAGAACCGUAGACUUACAUUGUCCUUAAGCAGUUUACGUAAUGAAUGCUCUGACACUCUUUUUCCUUAUCUGUGAAAUCUAGAGAAUGAGUGAGUCUCUCUAAUGUCUCUCUUUCCAAACUAGAAUGCUCACCGAGGAUUAGCCCUACUGCGUGGGGCAG
rnacentral:lncRNA from 12 species